rnacentral:rRNA from 1 species
UACGGAGGAUCCGAGCGUUAUCCGGAAUUAUUGGGUUUAAAGGGUGCGUAGGCGGCCAUUUAAGUCAGCGGUGAAAUUUUGCAGCUCAACUGUAAAAGUGCCUUCGAAACUGGUUUCCUUGAGUGUAGAUGAAGUAGGCGGAAUUUGUGGUGUAGCGGUGAAAUGCAUAGAUAUCACGAGGAACUCCGAUUGCGCAGGCAGCUUACUAAACUACUACUGACGCUCAGGCACGAAGGCGUGGGGAUCAAACAGGAUUAGAUACCCCCGUAGUCCCU